rnacentral:rRNA from 1 species
GACGAACGCUGGCGGCGUGCUUAACACAUGCAAGUCGAGCGGUAAGGCCCUUUCGGGGGUACGACGAGCGGCGAACGGGUAGGAGUAACACGUGGGUGACCUGCCCUCCAGCUCUGGGGAGUAAAGCCUCGGGAAACCGGGGUACCGUAAUAACCGGGAUAUGACUCCAUGACGCAUGUUGUGGGGUGGAAAGCCUUGUGCGGCUGAGGAUGGGCCCGGCGGCCUAUCAGCUUGUUGGUGGGGUGAUGGCCUACCAAGGCGACGACGGGUAGCCGGCCUGAGAGGGCGACCGGCCACACUGGGACUGAGAUACGGCCCAGACUCCUACGGGGAGGCAGCAGUGGGGAAUAUUGCGCAAUGGGCGGAAGCCUGACGCAGCGACGCCGCGU